rnacentral:rRNA from 1 species
GGUAUCCGGCCUGAGAGGGUGAACGGACACACUGGAACUGAGACACGGUCCAGACUCCUACGGGAGGCAGCAGUAGGGAAUAUUGCUCAAUGGGGGAAACCCUGAAGCAGCAACGCCGCGUGGAGGAUGAAGGUUUUAGGAUUGUAAACUCCUUUUGUUAGAGAAGAUAAUGACGGUAUCUGACGAAUAAGCACCGGCUAACUCCGUGCCAGCAGCCGCGGUAAUACGGAGGGUGCAAGCGUUACUCGGAAUCACUGGGCGUAAAGAGUGCGUAGGCGGGAGGACAAGUCAGGUGUGAAAUCCUAUGGCUUAACCAUAGAACUGCAUUUGAAACUAUCCUUCUGGAGUGUGGGAGAGGUGGGUGG